UCCAUUCAGCUGGAAUCUGCCUGUUUUCUAAAUCAUCAGUUUUCAUCUAUUUAUUACAAUCGUUUCAUUUUCUUGAUGUUUUUGUUUUACAUUUACCAAAAUAAAUGAACUCAGACGGAUCUGAACUGAGUCGGAGGUCAAAGGUCAGACUUGAUCAGUCUUUUUCAGACUGGUGAUCCGCGGGCGCCCCCUAGUGGUCCACUAGGUACUGCAUGUAAGUGACCGUUUGCAGUGACGUCAGCUCAAAGUGACGCUACAGCUAGCUUAGCAAAGAUUUGAAUUAAAAAUCAUGAUGGACAACUGGCUUAAGCCCGGGUUGUCACCAGAAAAACUGCAGAUACCGGUGGGAAGAAAAACUCCAGGAGUUUUAUCUGAGCAGAGGAAGCUGAAGCUGCUGUGGUUCACUAGUGAAUGGAUUCCUUUGAACGGCUCCGUGCGGUUGAAUUAUAUAUUGUGUUAUCGCGGGCGAUUUCACCUUCUUGUUCCGGUUGACGCUCAGGAAGUAGACGCUCUCUGAGGCGACAAACGGCGGGCCCCAGGUUCUGGUGUCGUCUCCUCCACCUGUCCAGCAGAACCAACGCAUCUACAACAGUCUCCUAGGAUCAUGGUGGCAAACGGACCAGCCAGAACCCUGCACACACCCAGACACAUGUCAGCCUCCGGGUGGAUCGGAACCAGCAGCGGCCUGCGGAGCUCACCUGGUUCCGAUCCAAACUUUGAUGAGAUGACUGACCCCCGACCAGAGAUGCUACCAUUAGCCUGCUAGCAGCAGCUCCGGAGCAGUACCU